rnacentral:rRNA from 1 species
CGUAGGGUGCGAGCGUUGUCCGGAAUUAUUGGGCGUAAAGAGCUUGUAGGCGGUUUGUCGCGUCUGCCGUGAAAAUCCGGGGCUCAACCCCGGACUUGCGGUGGGUACGGGCAGACUAGAGUGUGGUAGGGGAGACUGGAAUUCCUGGUGUAGCGGUGAAAUGCGCAGAUAUCAGGAGGAACACCGAUGGCGAAGGCAGGUCUCUGGGCCACUACUGACGCUGAGAAGCGAAAGCGUGGGGAGCGAACAGGAUUAGAUACCCUGGUAGUCCACGCCGUAAACGUUGGGAACUAGGUGUGGGUCUCAUUCCACGAGAUCCGUGCCGCAGCUAACGCAUUAAGUUCCCCGCCUGGGGAGUACGGCCGCAAGGCUA